rnacentral:lncRNA from 1 species
ACUGAAAUAAAGUGCGAAAGACCAUAACAAUUGAAUCAUCCAUAUACAUCCCCAAAUCUGAUGUCACAAGUGCACGAGCUUCUAGAAUAAUAUAAAUAAAAGCCUGAAUAAAAUUCUAGCUGUUUGAAAGAUAACACGUAGCUAGAUAAGAUAGAAGGGGACUUCAGAACUGCGGACGCUGUGCAGUUAUACCUUAAGUCUCCUCUGGGUAGCUGAAUCCGAGCAGUCUAUGGUACGCCGCUGGGACAAACUCCAAAAUCUGCACAAGAAGUGCAGAGUGUAGUAUGAGUACAACCGAUCAUAUGUACUCCGUAAGUAUCGAGCCUAACCUCGACGAAGUAGUGACGAGGCUAUGACAAGACACAUACGUAAACAACAUGUACAAGCAUAUACAAAUACGAAGCAAUAAUAGCACAAAAAUUAACAAUUUAUAAAUUUGGGAGGGAAACAUACGAAGGGGAAUGGUAUAGAAAUUUCAGCAGGAAAAGUGCCACGUUGCAGCUAAUUAAUUCAUCAAUAAUAAAAUGAGAAGUUGAUAAUAUGAAACUGGCACGACGCCACCCUUCGUGCUUUUACUCUCAUUCUUCCCAUAAAUUUAUAAAUAGAUAAUAAGAUUGGCACGACAUCACCCUUCGUGUUUUAACUCUUUUUCUUGCCAUGAAUUGAUAAAUAAAUAAUAAGAUUGGCACGACAUCACCCUUCGUGUUUUAACUCAUUUUUUUGCCAUGAAUUGAUAAAUAAAUAUAAGAUUGGCACGACUUCACCCUUCGUGCUUUAACUCUUUCUCGGCACGACAUCACCCUUCGUGCUUUUACACUCUUUGAAAAUGGCACGGCAUCACCCUUCGUACUUUUACACUCAUUCUCACCAUGACAAGGAUAAUAUAAAUAAUAUAAAUGGCACGGCAUCACCUUCAUGCUUUUACACUCUUCGUUGCCAUAAAAAUAAUAAUAUAAAUUUGGAAGAGUAUUUAAAUGCGGAGAUAUAUACUUAUCAAUCAAUUCAAUACCAGAAUACCGACUUCACCUUCCAAAAUAUUCAACAAUAAUUAAACUAGCAAUAAUCUCAUGAAAAAUGAUCAAAUAAACAAUAAUAACUUAAACAGGAAUAUCUUAAUUAAAUAGGUAAUUAUUCACAAUAAAUAAAUUCCACCCGCAUGCUUUGACUCAACCACAACACAUAAGUACUCGUCACCUCACAUAUACGUUGUACCCGUACAUUAAAUCACGUAGAAAAUAGACAAACAAGUCCUACUCCCUCAAGCUAAGGUUAACCACGACACUUACAUCGCUUUGCAACCAACUCAAAAUUUCAAUAAACCUUUGCCUUGCGUUGUCCGAAUGCCUCAAAUCUAGUCACAAACAAUUCAAUAUACUCGAUACGAAUUAUAGAAACUAAUUCUAUAUAAAAAUACUAAAUUUUUCAAUCAAAAUCCGAAAUUCAAUUCAAAAAUUGACAGUUGGGCUCACGUCUCGGAACCCGACAAAAGUUACAAAAUAUGAACGCCCAUUCAACCACGAGUCUAACCAUAUAAAUUUUACCAAAUUCUGACAUCAACUCGACCUUCAAAUCCCCAAAUCUUAUUUUCAAAUCCAUAGGCCCAAAUUCUCGAAUUUCACCUCAAAAACACGUAAUCUAGUCGGAAUAAUCGAUGAUAAUUCAAUAUUAUUGACUAACAAUGAUCACAAGUGACUUACCUCAAGUUUUUUCGUGAAUUCUCGCUCAAAAAUUGCCUCAACUUGUGUUGAAAAUGUCCAAAAUGACAAAAAUCUCGGAACCCCUCUGUUUUUAACACUGCCAAUAUUUUCGCUUUUGCGGCUCAGUAAGCCGCUUCUGUGGCUAUUUAUGCUUCUGCGGACACGCUUCUGCGAAGGAGCGUGCCCCUUCUCCUUUUUCGCUUAUGCGAUGCAAGGCUCGUUUCUGCGAGCUCGCACCUGCGAGCUAAAUUCCGCAGGUGCGAUUGCACCAGAAGGCCAAAAUUUCCAGCAGAUGUUUAAGUCCAAAUUUCAAUCCGUUAACUAUCCGAAACUCACCCGAUGCCCUCGGGACCUCAACUAAAUAUACCAACAAGUCCUAAAAUAUCAUACGAACUUAGUCGAAGCCUCAAAUCACAUCAAACAACGCUAAAACCACGAAUCAUACCCCAAUUCAAGCUUAAGGAACUUAAGAAUUUUUAACUUCUACAUUCGAUGCCGAAACCUAUCAAAUCAAGUCCGAUUGACCUCAAAUUUUGCACACAAGUCAUAAAUGACAUAACAGACCUAUUCAAAUUUCGAGAAUCGGAUUCCGACCCCCGAUAUCAAAAGUCAGCUCCCCGGUCAAAUUUUCAAGAUUAAAUAUCUAUUUUAGCCAUUUCAAGCCUAAUUUAAUUAUGGACCUCCAAAUAAUUUUUCGGACACGCUCCUAAAUCCAAAAUCACCAUAUGGAUCCACCGGAAUCAUUAAAAUACCAAUCCGGAUCCGUUUGCUCAAAAUGUUGACCGAAGUCAACUCAAGUGAGUUUUAAAGCUCUAUUUCACAUUUUAAUCAUUUUUUCACAUAAAAAGUUUUCGAAAAAAUUUACGGACUGCGCAUGCCUAAGUCUUUUUAAUCCAAAGUUCGUUAGGCUUGCCUAAGUCAUUCAAUCCAAUAUAUAUACUUGUCACAUACAUAAUGAGAGAUAACAAACAGGAAACAACAACGAGCAACGACACAGUGCAAACUAAGGAAUGCUGAAAGGUGCUAUUCGAGAUCUCAAAACAUAAAAAUGAAUAUUUAAAAUUAAAGAUUACAUAUUGGUCAUCACACUAAUCCUUAUAUUCCCACUUCAAAAUUAAUUCAUGAAUCCUCCCCACGACAGAAUACUACAUGCCUUGCAUCAAAUCUUAUUUCAGUUCCAACCACCUAUUCUGCAUGUAAUUCUUCCUUACCUCCUAUUUUCACUCUAACUACACUUCCUAUAUCUUCUAUUAUUCCAUUUUCAAAUAAUAUUUCAUCUACAUCACUUAAUUCUCCAACUCCCCAGCCAACUUUAAUUCAAAAAUCUACUUCUAUCUCAACUAUACCUUCACUCCCUCCUCUUCCACGGCCUUUACAUCCAAAUCCACAAACAAUAUCCUCAAAUAUUUCUGUACAUAAUCCGCUCCAGCAUCCCACAACUACUGCAAUUCCUUGUGAUAAUUCUCCCAGUUUACAUCCACCUACUUCUAAACUUCAUCACAUGGUCACAAGAAAACAAACUGGUUCACUUAAACCUCAAAUUUUAUCAUCUUUAAUAUCUCAUAUUUUACCACUUCCACCAGAACCAACCUCAUUUACAGAAGCUAACAAAUCGCCUCAUUGAAAACGUGCAAUGGUUGAAGAGUACAAUGCCCUUAUAUCCAACCAUACUUGGGAUCUUGUGCCUCCACAUCUAAUGCUAGUGUUAUUGGUUGUCGUUGGGUUUAAGAGUUAAACAAAAGUCCGACGGGUCUCUUGAACGUUACCAAGCGCGACUUGUCGCUCAAGGUUACAAUCAACAACAUGGACUAGACUAUGAUCAAACAUUUAGUCCAGUGGUGAAACCAGUCACCAUUCGUAUUGUUCUUGCUAUUGCUGCAUCUAAGAAAUGGCCAGUCCAUCAAUUAGAUGUCAAGAAUGCCUUCUUGCAUGACACUCUUAAUGAGCUGGUAUACAUGAAACAGCCUACAUGCUUUGUUCAUCUACAAUUUCCACAUCAUGUUUGUCGGUUGAACAAAGCUCUUUAUGGCUUAAAGCAAGCCCUGCAGGCAUGGUUUCAACGUUUUACUUCUUUAAUUCUUUGUCAUGGUUUUAAAAAUAGUAUGUCAGAUUCUCCUCUAUUUAUCUACAAAAAUAAUACUGACAUUGCUAUUCUUCUCAUCUAUGUGGACGAUAUUCUUCUUAUCGCUUCUUCUUCUACUUUACUUAGUUCUUUGAUCGCGGCCUUAAAAUCAGAAUUUUCCAUGAAUGAUUUAGGUUUGAUUAAUUUCUUUCUUGGCAUCUCUGUAACUUCUCGAGAUGGUGGUUACUUUAUUUGUCAGUCCAAAUAUAUUAAAGAUCUCCUAGGUCGUGCCAACCUUCUUUCUUCCAAACCUGUUACUUCACCUAUUUCCCCGAAAUCUAUACAUAAUUCUAGUGACUCAUCUCCAUUCUCAGAUGCUACUCUCUAUAGGAGCCUUGUUGGUGGUCUUCAAUAUCUUACAUUUACCCGUCCAGAUAUUGCAUUUGCUGUUAAUAGAGUGUCCCAGUUUAUGCAUUCACCCUCGGUGACUCAUUUUACUGCGGUGAAACGUAUUCUACGAUACUUGAAUGUCUCUUUGACUCGUGGUUUGUUCAUUCCUGGUGGUUCUAUUGAUAGUUUGUCCUGUUAUAGUGAUGCCGAUUGGGCUGGCUGCCCUACCACUCGACGAUCUACCUCAGCUUUUUGCUUGUUUCUUGGUUCUAAUCUUGUUUCUUGGUCUUCUAAAAAGUAGAGUGUUGUAUCUCGCUCCAGUGCCGAGGAAGAAUAUAGAUCAGUUGCUCAUGUUGCUGCUGAGAUUACUUGGGUGCAAUCUCUUUUACGAGAUCUACAUAUGCCUCUUUCCUCUCCUUCCACUAUUUUCUGUGAUAAUAUUAGUAACAUUUACUUGGCUCACAAUCCUGUUCAACAUGCUCAUACCAAACAUAUUGAAAUUGAUAUUCAUUUUGUACGGGAAAAAGGUUGCUUCCGGAGUAAUUCAAGUUCAAUAUGUCCCUACUCAAGACUAGCUUGCUGAUUUAUUAACAAAGUCUCUUCCAUCUCCGAGGGUGUUGUUUUUGCGUGACAAACUCAGUGUUCUUCCAGAUCGUGCUUCGCUUGAGGGGGAGUGAUAAACAUAAUGUAUAGGAUAGACAUGUAAUUCAAGUUAUUUUAAAUUGUUGUUAUACUUAGAGUUAUCUUAUAUUUUAGAUGUAUAUGUACUCUCUCUCUCUAUAUAUAUAUAUUUCAUUGUACUUCUCAAUUUUUUUUUAUCAAGAAUAGAACUCUUUCUCAUUGUACUUAGGAUAAUUGGAUAAGAGUAAGUAACUAGAGGUUUCAUCGCUAAUAGAAUUGAUACUCAAACUGAAUAUAUUAAGUGAUUAUGAAUUAGAAGGCGACUCAUUGUAAGUGAAACUUAAAAAUUUGUACAUCUAAUAAUUGUAAAUGCAACUUAAAAUAAUUUACACUAGUUACAAGAAAGUGACAUGCAUUAUUACUGAAUUUUAAAGCAAAUGAUAUCUAAGUAUGAGUUUAAAAUUGACCCUUCUGCUACUAUAUCAAAUUAUAUUCAUUUUCUGGAUUGAAACGAGCAGAAUUAUUCUUUCAUUAUAUAUGGAUUUCGGAUUGAACAACUUUGUCUAUCUUGACGUUGGUUCCCCAAGUACAUGUAAGUAUAUGUGGCCGUCAAAUAAUAAAAUAACUUGAAAGUCGGAUGUCGAACCCACAUAGACUUAGAGUAAUUAUUAAUUAAGCUAACUAAAUUAAUUAAUUGUCCAAGGUAAUCAAAAGUAAUGAUAUUUUUUACUAAUCUACUUUUGCAAAUAUUAAACAUAUAAAUAGUUAAACUAACAAGGACGCAAGAAUUUAUGGUUGGAUUUUAAUCAAAGGAAAUAAAGAUUACAGGGUCGUGGUCGGUUUAUCAAUCCUAUUGAGUCGUAAUUACACCUGUUAAUCUGAAUUAUCUAUGGUUGCUAGUUGACCGAGUCGUUUAUAUAAACAACAUGUUCCCUUAUUACUAUCCGUCUAUUCACAAUAUAUCAACCAUAUAUUUCUAUAGUAUUGAAUAUAUCAUGAACCAAUAUAAUACGACAUUAACUAAGCAAAACUGUUAGGUAUAUUCUUAUCCUAACCGCGAAAUUCUUCCCCGAGCCAUGGUUUCAGAAACAAUCUCUCUCUAAUUCUACUCUAAUCUAAAUAUAACUUUUUCAAGCAUAGCAUAGAUAAUAAAUAGAACUUAACUACUAACCAAAUAAUUAAGCAAUUAUGCAUAAAAUUAGAGAAAUAACCAAAGCUGAUAACUCAAAUUAACGGUGACGUAAUUAUAAAACUUCAAUAUUUAUGACAACCACAGUCCUAGAAAAUAGAGUUGUUAGCCCCCCAUAAUUGUAGUAACAAUCAUUCAAAUGUUUUGCAUGAAUAAAUUAUAAAGAAAAUAUGAAGGAAUGAAGAACUAUGAUUUUUUCCUCCAGAGUUGCUCCACACGGUGUUCUAGCCUCUAAAUAAUAUCCAAUCCCUCAAAACUGCGUUUAGAAACUACUUUAUACUUGUUAGAAACGUGUAGGACAGACCUGGACGCCCAUUUUUCUGCACUUUUAUACUCGGCUGCCUUUGGCGUUUUAGUUGGUGCCUUGAGCCCUUCUCGACGUCGAACUCAUAAUCCCUCAAAAUUAUUCUGUUUUGACUUCAAAUUGCAUGUGCAUUCUUUCCAAAUCACUUUAGAGACUCCUACAAAAAUAAGCACCGUAAUUAAGGUCAAAUCGUCAAUAUUCGCAUUAAAGUUAACAAAGACCGAGAUAUAAUACAAGACAAAUUACAUGCGAGCCAAACAUCAAUUGACUCUCUCAAAUUAGGGCAAUGCAUUGACUAGUGUUUAUUACGAAUACAAUCCAAAUGAGGUCUUUUGGGGUAUAUAAUCGUGCGUUGAAGCCAA